rnacentral:lncRNA from 1 species
GCAUAUUCAUACAUCAAUCAGUCAAAAUCUUCUCAUCUUUCUUCAGUCUCCUUUUUCUCUCAUGGCACACAUCCAAUUGGUCUUCGUGAUAACUCCAUUAUAUUGAUCAAAUCGAUCCUGGGCAGAUUUUAACUCACAUGUUGAUGCUUUUUCUUCACUGUUGUUGCAGUAAUGUGGUGAACGAGUAUGUGGGAGCAAUGAGGCAGCUUGCAUGUGAGAUCCUGGACCUGUUAGGAGAGGGGCUAGGGCUCAAGGACCCCAGAUCCUUCAGCAAGCUCAUCACUGACACAGACAGCGACUCACUCCUGAGGAUCAACCACUACCCUCCAGCAUGCACCAUUCAGAAGCUUGACCAUGACAACCAAUGCAAGAUGAAGAGCAGUUUCAGAAUCAAGACUGGCAAUGGUGUGAACCAGUCAGCAGGUGCACGGAUCGGAUUCGGGGAGCAUUCAGACCCGCAGAUUCUUAGCUUGCUCCGAUCAAACGAUGUUGACGGCCUUCAGGUGCUUCUGAACUGCGACGGCAGGGAGGUGUGGGUUCAGGUGCCAUCCGAUCCAUCAGCAUUCUUUGUCAAUGUUGGUGAUCUCCUCCAGGUAAAGGCAUCAGUUUACCUGAAAAUAAACAGCACUAGUAGAUAAAGUAAAUGAAAAUUGCUUCUAUGAGCUACUUAGAAAUUAAAUUAGCAGACUCUUAAGUCUAAAACAAGCACAGAGGCUAGGCACAACUCAGCACCCCCACCAUUAGUACUCACAUAUGAAAUUGCAUUAUGCAACUCCCGUCUCAGUGCAUCAUAGAAAUAGAUUCUUCACUUACUAAAAACAUGAAAAAGAAAUGUAUCUCUAUUUGAUUCGAACUCUAAAUAGACACCAGGUUAGCUAUUGCUCCUUUUGUGAAAAGAUGGGUCGGCACUGAUAUUUUUGGACACAUCUCUUGGACUGCAUCAAGUACAUCAUACCAACUGACAAGAAUUUCUGUUUUUGUCUUGUUAGUUGUUACUACAUCUGAAUCUAACAAUAACCAGAUAUCAAUCCAUAGUGCAACAAUACAAUAUUAUGUCUCUCAUACUUGGUUUGUAUUCAUCUCUCCUUUCCCUUUCUUGUUCCCAGGCUUUGACAAAUGGGAAGGUGAUAAGUGUCCGGCACAGGGUAAUUGCAAACUCCUGCAGGGCAAGGCUGUCCACAAUCUACUUCGCUGCGCCGCCACUGCAUGCACGAAUUUUGGCCCUCCCAGAGACAAUCACAGCCAACUCACCCCGCCAGUACCGGCCCUUCACCUGGGCCGAGUACAAGAAGACAAUGUACUCCCUCCGCCUGAGCCACAGCCGCCUCAACCUCUUCCACAUCGACCAUGAUGACCACAGCAAUGUCGGCAAAGGAGAACAAGAAUAGGGAGCACUUGCUGAACUGCAGGCAGAGUUAAUGGUGGGGACUAGGUAGGUAGAAUUGUCCCCAAAAUUUUGGCUCUCUGGCUUCCACAGCUAGAUAUCUAGUAUUAUGAUGGUGUAGGGUUGUGAGUCUGCCAAUGUGUAAUAGUAUUUAGCAUUGUACAGAAGUCCUUGUUGUAUGGUACUGAUGUACUAUUGCCUGUUUUAGCAGUUUGUUGUCUCCACCUAACUUUUAUUUACUCUCUCCCCCUUUUCUAGUGUUGCCUUUGCUUAAAGAAACCUCUUCCUUGCACAAAAGUGAGACCUAACUCAGACUCCUGCUGAAAAUUUUGAUACAGUAUCCUUUUUUAAGAAAUCUAAAAUUAAAGGCUAGAAGGAGUUCAAAUGUCACAUAUACUAUAAGCAUAAGUUAGUUCAAGGAAGUGAUAGAAUGUUCCAGUAAUUAAUUCUGCAAAUCCAUUCCAUCACAAACUAUUCCCCACUCUUUAUCACCUUCGCAGUGCAAAUAUUGACCCAAAUUGAGCUAUAUCAUAUUAUCUAUAUGAAUAAUAAGCACAUUUUUUUUCUCGAACACACAGGAGAGCUAUGAAUCAUUAUAUUAAGAAGAAAAGGAAAGCGGAUUGACUCCAUACAAAAUCCACACACUCAUGCCUCACACCUUGCAGUGAGUUGCACAUGCCCAUAAACAACCUGACCACAUCCUAGAGGCUACAGCCUUAAAGGGCGCUUGCCUCCAACUGGCUCAAGGACCAGCAUUAUUCAUCACUAUUAAAAAGAACCUAAUUCAGUUUCAAAUCAUAGGCAGCGAAUACAAAAUGAGUUAAUUUUAGUUAUCUGCCAUUCUUCAUGACAUCAGAAUCAAAGUAAAUUACCAAAUGUGGAUUCAACAAAAGAAUAAGCAAAUCUCAUAUUAAUGGUAAAGGGGGAAUAUAUCACAGUACAUCCUGAAAUGGAGUUUAUGGUGAUCGAUUUACAAAAGCAAUGGCCUAUUUCGAUGAUAUUUCAACCCAAGUUGGUUUUGUUGUCCUCGACUGUCCAUAUUAAAUGAUGAGAGAACAAAAAAAACAUGAUUUGAGCAAAUCAAUGUAUUGGCCCCUCUCAUAUAUAGUCACACACCUACAGUCUUUCAGACUGUUAUACAGUGUGAAUCUCUCUGAUUGAGAAUUAAUACCUUACAUUGUAUGCGAUGGCAAGAAAAGCAAGAAAAGACAGAGACUCAGUGAAGCUGCAUGGCUUUUUUUUUGAGAGAGAGAGAGAGUUAGCUGCAUGGAGUGAGUAUGCCUAUUAUUUGGGAGAAGUAUUAGGCAGAGUGCUGUCCUGGGAAAACUUCAAUGUCCAACUCCCACAGCAAGACACCACAGGCAUUGCCAAAUGGUGGGAGGAGGCAGCAAGCAAGGUGCCAAAGCAGGAUUGAAGGUGGUUCAAUGGAAUCCCGAAUCCUCAUUUACAUUAUAUGGAACUUGUAAAAGGAGAGGAAUAGGAGGAUUUUCGAAAACAAACACAAAACGGUGAAGGACCGAAAACGGCGACCAGAGGGGGGGUGAAUGGGAGCCUCAAAUUUCUUUCGAAAUAUUUAGCCACUGUCCCGAGUUCACCACCAAACGCGCAACAACUCCAAAUCUAGAAUACUCACGCCAACUGAUGCCGGAAGUACCUAGAGAAAUUUCUUAGGACUAUAGAUGUUCAAUGCAAGAGACAAAAUACAAAUCGAAGUCCAAAGAACUAAGUUGUGGACAAAACGGAAAAUUAGGGCCAGAGAAAAUUCAUUAGAAAAUCGCCAAGAAAAACGGACAGAGUAACGGCUUAAAAAUGGAGCACUCUAUUUUACCAGCGAGAACUGGAUCCCUGCAAAACAAAUCACUGAAUUGGAUUUGCUCGGCACUCGAUGGUGCGCGGCCUACCAAUAAAAAAAACACAACCAGUUAGGAGAUGAACGAACUGCUACUUAGCUCCUGACAAAAAGAUGAAACGAUUUGCUUGCAAACUGAAACAAGAGAUUGAAUGGAACAGCAGCCUGAGCAACGAACUACUAGCAGCUGCCAGUUCGUGCUUGGAUGAGCACUUGCUCGGGCUCAGCGCUGAGUGUUUGAAGCUGUCCGGCUGUCAUCCAUAGGAGCCGCUGCAAUGAAGGGCAACUGAAGCAAAACGCUAGGCAACGGGAGCCCUCCUGGGACUGCAACGAGUGCUGCUCAAGUGAGCCAGCAAGGUGCUUGAAUACUAAAUGCUGCUUUGGUAGCACUGCUGCUAGUUCAGGCCAUGACAGCACCCUUCCAGACUCCCGUAUGAAGCACGAACUAUAGAACAAGAACGAAGCUGAACAGACAGAGAGAGGAGCGGUCACAAAAACAACAAAAAAUUCAACCAAAAACUCCACGAAAAACUCUUAAACUUGGCAUAGACCAAAUUCAACCUAGCACGAACUCAUCCCCAAAAAAUCAUUGUCUAGGAUUAAGCCAAUCUCUAGGAAAAUCAGAUCACGUGCAAGAACUCGAAAAAUAUCCCCAAAACCGAAAAUUGCUCAGAUCUUGAUGCACAAGUGGAAAUUGCUCAAAUCACUCGGUCAUCCUGUUCAUCACUUGGUAAAGCAUCAAACUGACCAAACAAACUCCAUAGAAAACUUAAAACUAGCACGAAUCAUGGAAGCGAAAAACAGGUGAACAGUAACUCACUCGCAAAAAUAACAGACACAAACACUGCUUAAUGAUACACGAAAAUCACAGCUAAGUAUGUUGAAUCCCGGAGGACAAGUGGAGGAUUUGGGCCUCCAUUCCCAACUCAAAAUCACACGAAAAAUCACCACGAAAAAUCAGUUCAUGGCACUCUCUCUUGAGAAAAUCUAAAAAAAAAAACUGACCCUAGAGAGAGAG